CAUUGAAAUUAGUACGAUGGUCACGAGGUGGAUUACUUCUAUGAACAUUUCUUGGUAACAGAGUAGAUGGAAUUAUGAUUUGGCUUAAACUUCCUCGGCCAUAAGAGAUUGUCGAAAACAAUGAAAUCAAGGAUGAAUUACCUCUACCGGUGAAGGUUACAAGAUAUGAUUUUAACAUUGGCGCUCCAUCAACAUAAUAUAGAACUCUAGUCAUAGGCAAAUUGUAAACAAAAGUAUAUAUUAAAAUCAAAAAGCAUCUCAUUCUUUUGAAAUGAUUUUGUGGAAUAAAUCUUGAACAAGUAGCUAGACAAUCGUGCAUGUUUG
rnacentral:lncRNA from 1 species